UCGGAGUUGCAGAAGGAGGGGAAGAAGAUUAUUUUCACAAAUGUCGGGAACCCUCAUGCUCUCGGAUAGAAGCCAUUAACAUUUCCCCGUCAGGUGGUAGCAUUGUGUCAAGCUCCAUUUCUAUUGGAUGACCCUAAUGUCGGGCUUUUAUUCCCAACAGAUGUCAUUGCAAGAGCUAAACAUU